rnacentral:rRNA from 1 species
GACGAACGCUGGCGGCGUGCUUAACACAUGCAAGUCGAACGGAAAGGCCCUGCUUGCAGGGUACUCGAGUGGCGAACGGGUGAGUAACACGUGGGUGAUCUGCCCUGCACUUCGGGAUAAGCCUGGGAAACUGGGUCUAAUACCGGAUAGGAGCCAUUUUUAGUGUGAUGGUUGGUAAGUUUUUUCGGUGUAGGAUGAGCUCGCGGCCUAUCAGCUUGUUGGUGGGGUAAUGGCCUACCAAGGCGGCGACGGGUAGCCGGCCUGAGAGGGUGGACGGCCACAUUGGGACUGAGAUACGGCCCAGACUCCGACGGGAGGCAGCAGUGGGGAAUAUUGCACAAUGGGCGCGAGCCUGAUGCAGCGACGCCGCGUGGGGGAUGACGGCCUUCGGGUUGUAAACUCCUUUCGCUAGGGACGAAGCUUUUUGUGACGGUACCUAGAUAAGAAGCACCGGCUAACUACGUG